UAUAAGGUGCCACAGGAUUCUUUGCUGCUUUUACAGAUCCAGACUAACACGGCUACCCCUCUGAUACUAUUUUUAUAUACACAUUCCAUGAAUGGAGAAGUAAAUGGAAUUUUAGAAAUGAUUUUCAAGUUUCUGAGAUAGCAUUAGUAACAGGGAAGGAAACUUGUUUUUAGGCUGACAAUGUCUCUUUAAAUGUGAGGAAAAUGAUGGAUCCUAUCAGCAGAGUUGUACUUAGGUUUGCAAGAGUAAAAAUGUUGAGGAAGCCAUUUCCUGGAAGUUAAUUAUUGGACAGGUGAGUAACUUCCAGAUGUCCUCACAGCUGGUCAUUACUGCUUAAAUUCUGUCAAUUUAAAUUGUUCUAGAGGCUGUUAAGAUGGUUAUGGGCCCAAUUCUUUCUCAGUCACAUGAGUAGUCCUGUAGAAUACAAGAAUAUACGUGUGAGUAAAGGCUGCAGUGCUGGACACACUAAUGGGAACUGGGCUGUGUCUGCUUUAGUCCAAUGAGGAAAGUUUUCCGCAUUUCAUUUAGAGUAAUUUUCAUUUAGAGUAAUUUUUCAAAAGUAGCCACCAGUUUUGGAUGCCUCAAUCCAGGGGACUGGAUUCUGCUGAAUGUCCACAAUUCCAGCUUUCAGCACCUCUGAAAAUCAGGACUAAGGGUGUUAGGUGGAGCACUCAGAAUUGAAGAUCACUUCUGAAAAUGUUUGUUACAGUGGAGGGAGGAGGACAAGGGGUGGCAUUUGGGUGUUGCUAACUGUUGCAGCUAGUAUGGCUUUAUCACAGGAGGGGAGGGGCCUAUUGUUAGGAAGUUACUGCCUGUGGUAUCUCACAGCUCUGGAAACUAUCCUCAGUUAAUCCAGAGUGGAUGAAACCAGCAUGAGUGAGAGAGAGUCUCUUAGAAACUUCAAGUCCUGUUGCCACUAAAGGGAGAAUGGCUCAAACUCUUGCUAGGAUGACCAUGAGUUUUCUUUGUUACUUUUUUUUUUAAUGCUAUACAUUUGAUACAAAAGAAGAUCAAUUUUAAGAGCUUACAGUAAUAUAUUUUAAGUAAUAUAUAUUUUAAUAUUUGUGUAAAAAAUGACAAAGGAAGAUUUGUGAACUAGAUAUACAGGGUAGUGUGUGUAUGCAGUUUCUCAGCAGGGCCGAGACGGUUUCCCUGGCAGGGGAACUGAAAGCACUUGGGUUUUCCAUUAAUGCAAUAAAAGUGGAGAUUCUUAAAACAAAAAUUCAAUAGUGUUUACCAGAUGCUCUUUCAUUUUGUUUGACCACAAGGCUUGUAAACAUGAUUUAGAAGAUGAUAAACUUUCGUCUGUCUUUUGUCUUUUUAAAAGGGACUUAAAUUGGAAUAGAAGGUAUGUAUAGAAAAAUCAAGGUGACACCAUUUUAAAAGUCGUAUUUUUUCACAAAUAAUAUAGAAGAAUCAUAUUUUACAUAAGAAUUUUAAGUAUUUGAAAAAAUGUAUAUAAAUAUACUGUAUGUACUUCAUAUAUUCUUUUAUUUUAUGUUUAAUUGUAUUAAAAAUAUUCUAGCUGGUUGGAGUUCCUACCUAUGUAUUAAUGUAAGAAGAGAGAGAUGAGCACUGCCUCUUACCAUUGCAGCAGUUGCUGCUGCAGCAGAUUGUAGGGUAGCAAAAAAGCUUGAAGCUCAGCAAAGAAUGAAUUGGAAUAGUUUAGCGGUUUUAGAAAUACAGUACAGACAUUUUUUUCAGUCCUAUGUCCUGUUUGUGUGUCCGUUCAUGCUCUGUUCUGUUUUGCCUCAUAAACACCCAGAACAAUCAAUGGUGAGAAGAUAAGGAGUUGAGGUGGAGCUUUAUACAAGCACUGCCAAAGAGACAUACAGGCUCUUGGGUCCAGUAUCACUGUAGAGGGUGAUGUGUGCCCUCAGUCACUACUGGAAGAUGGAAUGGUUCUCUUCUACUAUACUUGGGCAGGACCCCAUGAAAACUCCCUAAGGGGAAGCACUAGUAAAUCUGCUGAGACUGCUGGCAACAUUCCUCAUACGAAUUCUGGUUACACGAUGCUGUAACUUGGAUAUCAGGAUUCCCAGAGGUACAAGAUCUUAAAUUAUAUGAAUAUAAAAAAGACAAAAUUCUAGUUAGAAGGGAAGUGAUAGGUGGCUGCAGACUACGGUAACAAUCAGCUGUGAUUCAUGCGCAUUAUAUACAGCACAUCCAGUGCAGUUUACCUAAUAAAGGACCCAAACCUGUGAAGUCUUCAGCAUCUUCAAUUACCAUUGAAAUUAGUAGCAGCUGACGUUGCAGUGCACCUUACAGGAUUAGGCUAAAGUCCAUAGUGCAUGUGUCACAGCUGAUUUGUACUGUAAUACCACAUCCAUUCCCCCACCCUCAGUAAUUACCAUCACAGAUCUGUCUGGUUUGUUACAGAAACAGUAACACUUAUGACAAUGUUGAGGGUUAUAUUAGCCCAAUCAUUCAGGAACACAAUAGAUUUAAGUUGCAGCCCUUUUGAUCAGUGGCUCCAAUUCGGGCCUUCCUCUGUCCCCCGGACACCAACGCUACACAUGUACAGGGGCUGUAGGCUAGCAAAUCUCCCUUCCCUUGGUGGCACGAGAGAGACAGAACUGACUCUCUGCCAGGCCCUGGUGUGGGGUAAUACAGAGAAGGGAGGAGGCAUGGCUAGAACUUACUUCACUCUGGCUAUUCUGGGCUGACAGAAGGCUCAGGAAUCUGAUGCAUAAAGGUGAAACACAGACACAUUUGCCCCUUCACUUUUUGCCCCUUCACUCAGCUCAGGUGUAUCCCCAAAUUGGAGCCACUGUGUUUCCCAUAGCCCAAACCUCCCUGCAAAAACUGCUGGAAUCUCUCAGAUAAACAAGAAUUGUGUUUACAAUAACUCUCUGAUCGAGGUUUGUGGGAAGGGAAAUUGACUUUAAAGAAAACUCGGACAGUUUUGUUAUUAUUAUGAUUAUUUUCCAAACACCCCAAAAUAUGCCAGGCCUCUAUUUACAUACACGAAGUGAGAUUGUUUUUUAGUAAAGGCAUUUUAUCUUUCUUUCUCUGAAUUGCAGUCUGCACAUUCAAAGGGGUUUUCACUCUGAACAGUUGCACUAUCUAGCAGAAGGUUACACUGUUUGGAUGUGUAUAUGUAUAUAUAACUAGAGUGUAUAUGUGUGUGUAUAUAUACAACUAUAUUUUACAUAAAUGUACCUAAAAAGGCUGUAAGUCCAUCUCAGGAUUCUGGUGACAUUAAUUUUGAGAACAAAGUUUGAGUUACCACAAGCCUGAUGUAGAAUUACAGCUUUUAUAUUUGUUUUAAUAUUUAAAAUAUAUGGGUUAGAAAAAAAAAUAUAGUAUGUAUUGUUUUGAUCUGCUGCACUUUUUGUCUAAACAUUCCUAGUCCUGCUAGCACUGCUGCAGCUCCCAUCCCUUCCUGCUCCAUUUAAAACUUAGAAGCCAGCUUUUCCCCUGUGGGUUUUCUUUCAGUUGCACCUCUCAGAGGCUAAAUCGUGUUUCUAUUCAAAGAGCUAUGCCAAGAGAUUAAUAUUCCUGGAUUUGGUCUUUUAUAAUAAGAUGUCACAGCUGAACCCCAGUCCCAACACUGGGGAAAGUGACCUGAUAGUUGAUGCCUCCAGUUGGCAAUUGGAUUCUAAAAUAGUCCCUUUGCAAACUAGCGGAGGCAAGCAAUCUAACUUAAAUAAGAAAUGGUCAUUUUCUGUUGUUAUCCAGUGAUAAGUUUGUACUGAACAAUAAGAUUAUUGUAAUUCACUCUCCUCCUUAAUAAGGAAAUGACCCAAUUUCCAGGCAUUUAAAGAAACUUAAUGGGUCAGUUCCAUUAAACCAGCAAUCACAGCAGAGAGACGUGUGGCCCAUAAUUUUGCAGAUUGGCAGAGGUCAUUCUAGUAAACUGAUUCUCUCCCCAAAUGAAAAAUAAAAAUAAUUUUAAAAGUCUGCUUCGGGGUCUGCUGUAUAAGAUUCCACCUUAGCUUCUCACCAGCAUUAAGAAGGAUCUGAGGAGUGCUAAAAACAGUAUAUUUGUAUCUUGUCACUUUAAGAUAUGUGUGUCCAGAGGAGGUAGCACUUUGAAAAGCGAAAGCCUGCCUUGUGGCUUAUGUCUUACUGCAGAUUAAGUUCCUCUUCCCCUCACUCCUUAUUUUUGUCAUGUAAAACUACCUGCUUCAUAAAUGAAUGUAAAAUACAAUAGUUCUUCAGCACAUGGAUAAAUGUGUAUUUUAUCUUAAUGUUUCAUUUUAUGUUAAAUAAAAGCAUAUGAUUUUAUGGUCA